AGGGCAGCAUGAUUGACAAGCCAGCUUCAUACAGUCUGCAGGCUUUACCUUGUCUGUCUCAAGGUUUUGUGACUGGUUCUAACUUGCCAUGCCUUGUUGCAUACCUGCCACGUGCCCCUUUCUCAGAUGGAAAGCCAAUAUUUUUAGCACAAAUCCCCGGAGUGCCUAUUUUUUAGGAAGUCCACAUUUUAGUGAUUGUAAAUGUCCUGCGCUUUUAUUCUGCAAUAUAAAUAUGAGAUUUUGGUUUUGCUACAGAUACAUUGCCAUAAAUGGUUGUUAGUAGAUCAUGAAGUCAUCUAAAAUAUCCCAG